GGGGAAUAUUGCACAAUGGAGGAAACUCUGAUGCAGCAACGCCGCGUGAGUGAUGAAGGUCUUCGGAUUGUAAAGCUCUGUCAUCUGGGACGAUAAUGACGGUACCAGAUGAGGAAGCCACGGCUAACUACGUGCCAGCAGCCGCGGUAAUACGUAGGUAGCAAGCGUUGUCCGGAUUUACUGGGCGUAAAGGAUGUGUAGGCGGAUAUUUAAGUGAGAUGUGAAAGACCCGGGCUUAACUUGGGCAGUGCAUUUCAAACUGGAUGUCUGGAGUGCAGGAGAGGAGAACGGAAUUCCUAGUGUAGCGGUGAAAUGCGUAGAGAUUAGGAAGAACACCAGUGGCGAAGGCGGUUCUCUGGACUGUAACUGACGCUGAGGCAUGAAAGCGUGGGGAGCAAAC
rnacentral:rRNA from 1 species